UACCUAGAGGCUGGUGGCAUGCAGUGGCUUCUAUUCAGGAAUCAAUAGGCCAGGCCGGGACAGCGCUUUCCCACAUUGCAGCCUGUGAAGGAGAGGAAUCCUUAGAGCCGACCAUCUGCUCUUUGUCUUUCUGUGAGAGACCUUGGGUCCAGCUCAGCUCUGAUCUGACUUCAAUCUGACUGGAAUGGGGCUGAUCCGAGAAGACUCUCAAAGCUGUGAAAGGUUUCAAGUACGAAGAAACUAAUGACUUCAUUAUCAUCUCAAUUCUGGGAAAAGCUGGCUCCCGGACCUGCGUCCUGAAAGGAAAGAUCGCGGGCCCUUCCUCCUCGAAUUCACAGCCGAAGAGAGGGAAGCCAGGAGUUUGCGUUUCAGAAAGCGUGAGACUUCGAGAAGCCCUCGUGAAAAUUUGCCCGAUUGGAUCCAAUUUUAAACUUGGACGUUUCUCCGUGUGAACCCGGUUGUACGCUGCUAACGCGGAAACGUUCUUGUCCUUUGGGGGGAAGCUUUCUCCAGUUUUCUAAGAAAUGUAGGGGCUAGUCACUGCCUCCCUUCCCCAGUUACCCGUGGGCCGGGGAGGGGUGGCGGAGGGGGAGAACCAAGGAGCGUGACCAGCUGAAGAUGACACUGAAGCAGGUUCUUGGGGUAGCAGGAAGGGGAUUUCAGUCCCAUAUUCCGUGGGAAGCAACGUGCCCUUGUAGAUAGACCAGGGGCCUGGAAGCCAGAAGGACCUAGGUGUUAAUCCUGA